AAAGCUUAACAAAUAUCAACUCCAAUAGCUCUACCAUGAAACUAACCCAAUCUAGCUUGAGAAUGAAAACUGUCAAAGGUUGCCUCCAGCUCCAUGUGUUUAUCCCACGAGUUUUGAGAUCUGUUGCAAAUUCUGGAUUUAUAUAAUCCCAUUGAUAAAUAUGAGAAAAAUGGUGAGGAUGCUGAAAAUCAUUAUAUCAACAUAAAAUCAUGAUAAUAAGUCAAAGUCAAAGGUAAUUACUUCUCCACCAAGACUGAAUUGCCAGAACCCAAAAAGGAGCUCAAAAGAUUACUUUGACUUUGUGUUGACAAAUCUGUUGGCAACUAGCAUUGUAACUAAAUAUCAGUUCAAACACUUGCAUAAAUCAAGCAUUCAGUAAAUAAAUUGAAGGUCUUACAGCUCAGGUGUUCCUCCUUGUAAGGCUAAAGCUCCAAUUCAGCAGUGGCAUUCCCAAAGAUUUGUCAUUCCCUAAUCUUACAUCAACACAGAAGCAAAGGAUAUAAGAAAAAACAAUCUCACAAAUAACCAAUCUUUCUAAUGAAUCAAGAUAUGAUUGAAGGAAAAUGCAGCAAGUAUUGAGAUACCAGAUGAUACCAACGCUGGAACUAAACAAUGAAGCAGAACCGAGUCCAC
rnacentral:lncRNA from 1 species